rnacentral:rRNA from 1 species
AUGGAUUAAGAGCUUGCUCUUAUGAAGUUAGCGGCGGACGGGUGAGUAACACGUGGGUAACCUACCCAUAAGACUGGGAUAACUCCGGGAAACCGGGGCUAAUACCGGAUAAUAUUUUGAACUGCAUAGUUCGAAAUUGAAAGGCGGCUUCGGCUGUCACUUAUGGAUGGACCCGCGUCGCAUUAGCUAGUUGGUGAGGUAACGGCUCACCAAGGCGACGAUGCGUAGCCGACCUGAGAGGGUGAUCGGCCACACUGGGACUGAGACACGGCCCAGACUCCUACGGGAGGCAGCAGUAGGGAAUCUUCCGCAAUGGACGAAAGUCUGACGGAGCAACGCCGCGUGAGUGAUGAAGGCUUUCGGGUCGUAAAACUCUGUUGUUAGGGAAGAACAAGUGCUAGUUGAAUAAGCUGGCACCUUGACGGUACCUAACCAGAAAGCCACGGCUAACUACGUGCCAGCAGCCGCGGUAAUACGUAGGUGGCAAGCGUUAUCCGGAAUUAUUGGGCGUAAAGCGCGCGCAGGUGGUUUCUUAAGUCUGAUGUGAAAGCCCACGGCUCA